UACGGAGGGAGCGAGCGUUGUUCGGAAUUACUGGGCGUAAAGGGCUCGUAGGCGGCCAACUAAGUCGGAUGUGAAAUCCCCAGGCUUAACCUGGGAACUGCAUCCGAUACUGGAUGGCUUGAAUCCGGGAGAGGGAUGCAGAAUUCCAGGUGUAGCGGUGAAAUGCGUAGAUAUCUGGAGGAAUACCGGUGGCGAAGGCGGCAUCCUGGACCGGCAUUGACGCUGAUGAGCGAAAGCUAGGGGAGCAAACGGG
rnacentral:rRNA from 1 species